GAUGAACGCUGGCGGCGUGCCUAAUACAUGCAAGUCGAGCGAACAGACGAGGAGCUUGCUCCUUUGACGUUAGCGGCGGACGGGUGAGUAACACGUGGAUAACCUACCUAUAAGACUGGGAUAACUUCGGGAAACCGGAGCUAAUACCGGAUAACAUGUUGAACCGCAUGGUUCAACAGUGAAAGACGGUCUUGCUGUCACUUAUAGAUGGAUCCGCGCCGCAUUAGCUAGUUGGUAAGGUAACGGCUUACCAAGGCAACGAUGCGUAGCCGACCUGAGAGGGUGAUCGGCCACACUGGAACUGAGACCCGGUCCAGACUCCUACGGGAGGCAGCAGUAGGGAAUCUUCCGCAAUGGGCGAAAGCCUGACGGAGCAACGCCGCGUGAGUGAAGAAGGUCUUCGGAUCGUAAAACUCUGUUAUUAGGGAAGAACAAAUGUGUAAGUAACUAUGCACGUCUUGACGGUACCUAAUCAGAAAGCCACGGCUAACUACGUG
rnacentral:rRNA from 1 species